GAAACAAAAAAUAACAAAGGCACUUCAGCUUUUUCUCAUUUAUGUAGGACAGUCUUAUAAUAUGGAUCCAGAUAUCCUCCAGUCUCACAAGCUGAAAAUUGAUCCACUUUACUGGAGUUCUGUAAGCAUGCGGGAACCAGUCCUGUCUGUGUUCUGAAUUCAGCAGGGAUU